rnacentral:rRNA from 1 species
CAAAAGCGUAUAUUAAAGUUGUUGCAGUUAAAAAGCUCGUAGUUGAACCUUGGGCUUGGCUGGCCGGUCCAUCUUUUUUGAUGCGUACUGGACCCAGCCGAGCCUUUCCUUCUGGCUAGCCUUUUGGCGAACCAGGGCUUUUACUUUGAAAAAAUUAGAGUGUUCAAAGCAGGCCUUUGCUCGAAUAUAUUAGCAUGGAAUAAUAGAAUAGGACGUUAUGGUUCUAUUUUGUUGGUUUCUAGGACCAUCGUAAUGAUUAAUAGGGACGGUCGGGGGUAUCAGUAUUCAGUUGUCAGAGGUGAAAUUCUUGGAUUUACUGAAGACUAACUACUGCGAAAGCAUUUACCAAGGACGUUUUCAUUAA